UGGGCGUAGAGGGCUCGCAGGCGGUUUCUUAAGUCUGAUGUGAAAGCCCCCGGCUCAACCGGGGAGGGUCAUUGGAAACUGGGGAACUUGAGUGCAGAAGAGGAGAGUGGAAUUCCACGUGUAGCGGUGAAAUGCGUAGAGAUGUGGAGGAACACCAGUGGCGAAGGCGACUCUCUGGUCUGUAACUGACGCUGAGGAGCGAAAGCGUGGGGAGCGAACAGGAUUAGAUACCCUGGUAGUCCACGCCGUAAACGAUGAGUGCUAAGUGUUAGGGGGUUUCCGCCCCUUAGUGCUGCAGCUAACGCAUUAAGCACUCCGCCUGGGGAGUACGGUCGCAAGACUGAAACUCAAAGGAAUUGACGGGGGCCCGCACAAGCGGUGGAGCAUGUGGUUUAAUUCGAAGCAACGCGAAGAACCUUACCAGGUCUUGACAUCCUCUGACGAUCCUAGAGAUAGGACGUCCCCUUCGGGGGCAGAGUGACAGGUGGUGCAUGGUUGUCGUCAGCUCGUGUCGUGAGAUGUUGGGUUAAGUCCCGCAACGAGCGCAACCCUUGAUCUUAGUUGCCAGCAUUCAGUUGGGCACUCUAAGGUGACUGCCGGUGACAAACCGGAGGAAGGUGGGGAUGACGUCAAAUCAUCAUGCCCCUUAUGACCUGGGCUACACACGUGCUACAAUGGACAGAACAAAGGGCAGCGAAACCGCGAGGUUAAGCCAAUCCCACAAAUCUGUUCUCAGUUCGGAUCGCAGUCUGCAACUCGACUGCGUGAAGCUGGAAUCGCUAGUAAUCGCGGAU
rnacentral:rRNA from 1 species